AUUUUAUUAGUAUAAACCAGUACAUUUAAUUUCCAAUUAAAAAGAUCUUUAAAGAAUAAAAUA
rnacentral:tRNA from 1 species